rnacentral:rRNA from 1 species
AUGAUCUCAAAUGAAAAAGAGCCAAUUAAAAUGUUGACAUUGGCUACAAAAGGCAAUGAGGCAAGUCAAUCAAGUGCCAAAUCUGAAGGGAAGAAGUUGAGAGUGCACAAGGUAAAACAAGAAUUGCCAUUAAUUCAAACAAAAUCGCAGUCGGGGUGCCCACUCGGCCUAUCGUAUUGGCAAAAGAAGGAGUUGCAAAAGCUUAGUGCACAAGAACUUGAAAAGAGAAACAUGGCAUGGGUUCUCAAAGGAAAUAUUCAAAAAAAGAAUUAUGUGCGAGCUUCCUUUACAAGGAGUGCGACAAAGGUGAAGAAGGAAAAGAGUGAAAGCUACGAAGGACCAAGCCGAAAGUUUCAACAUCUUUGGUCCACACAUUAUCCAUUUUCUUAA